rnacentral:rRNA from 1 species
GAUGAACGCUGGCGGCGUGCUUAACACAUGCAAGUCGAACGGAACUACUCCAAUGCUAGUCUUCGGAAAGGCGUUGGUUUGGUUUAGUGGCGGACGGGGGAGUAACGCGUGGUUAACCUGCCCUAUACAGGGGGAUAACAGUUGGAAACGACUGUUAAUACCGCAUCAGCGCACAGGAGCGCAUGCUCCGGUGUGAAAAACUGCGGUGGUAUAGGAUGGACCCGCGUCUGGUUAGCUGGUUGGCGGGGUAACGGCGCACCAAGUCGACGAUAGGUAGACGGGCUGAGAGGCUGAACGGCCACAUUGGGGCUGAGCAACGGCCGAAAAUCCUGCGGGAGGAAGCAGUGGGGAAUAUUGCACAAUGGGGGAAACCAUGAUGCAGCGACGCCGCGUGAGCGAAGAAGUAUCUCGGGAUGGAAAGCUCGAUCAGCAGUGUAGAAAAUGACGGUACCUGAAGAAGAAGCCCCGGCUAACUACGUG